rnacentral:rRNA from 1 species
CCUACGGGUGGCAGCAGUGGGGAAUAUUGCACAAUGGGCGCAAGCCUGAUGCAGCCAUGCCGCGUGUGUGAAGAAGGCCUUCGGGUUGUAAAGCACUUUCAGCGGGGAGGAAGGCGGUGAGGUUAAUAACCUCAUCGAUUGACGUUACCCGCAGAAGAAGCACCGGCUAACUCCGUGCCAGCAGCCGCGGUAAUACGGAGGGUGCAAGCGUUAAUCGGAAUUACUGGGCGUAAAGCGCACGCGGGCGGUCUGUCAAGUUGGAUGUGAAAUCCCCGGGCUCAACCUGGGAACUGCAUUCGAAACUGGCAGGCUAGAGUCUUGUAGAGGGGGGUAGAAUUCCAGGUGUAGCGGUGAAAUGCGUAGAGAUCUGGAGGAAUACCGGUGGCGAAGGCGGCCCCCUGGACAAAGACUGACGCUCAGGUGCGAAAGCGUGGGGAGCAAACAGGAUUAGAUACCCGUGUAGUC